rnacentral:misc_RNA from 1 species
UCCGAGUUGUCCCCGGCAGUCCUCUUAGAGUCCCCGGCAUUACCCGCUGGCAACUAAGAGCAGGGGUUGCGCUCGUUGCGGCACUUAACCCAACAUCUCACGACACGAGCUGACGACAGCCAUGCAGCACCUGUGCACGAUCUCCGAAGAGGGGCUCUCGUUUCUGAGAGCUUGCUCGUACAUGUCAAGCCUAGGUAAGGUUCUUCGCGUUGCGUCGAAUUAAACCACAUGCUCCACCGCUUGUGCGGGCCCCCGUCAAUUCCUUUGAGUUUCAGCCUUGCGGCCGUACUCCCCAGGCGGGGCACUUAUCGCGUUAGCUGCGGCACCGAAGGGGUCGCUCCCCCCACACCUAGCACCCAUCGUUUACGGCUGGGACUAC